UUGGUAGGUACGUACCAAAUUUAAAUUUAAAGCCCACUUUAACUUUAUUAUGAAAUCUGUCGUUAAUGCUGUAUCUAUAGUUAGGCUAAUAAGUAAAUUUUGAAUUUCAUUUAUAUAGUAAAUAUGUAUAAUCGACAUAUUUUGACAAAAUAUUUUGUCGAUAUAUUUUGACAAAAAAAAAAUCUAAGCAAUUUAAUUAAUUCAAAAUACAUUUUACUGCUGUCAGAAAAAAUGUUUAUUUCACAAAAUAAACGUGGCUUUUCGCUUAAAUCCCAGGUUCAAACUGCUAAGAGACAUGUGGUUGGCAGCUUUAACAUUGAAUUUAAGCGAAAACAAUAUUUAUUUGUCAAAUAAACAUUUAUUUCUGUUUCCUGACAGAACUAAAAUGUAUUUUGAAUUAAAUGAAUUACAUUCAUUCUUUUUGUCACAAUUAAUUUAAUCCAAAAUAUUUUUUUGGACACCCUGUAUACCUAAAUAAUUAUGUUAAAGUUUAUAUUAUUGAAUAGCGAAUUAAAUAACCUUUCAAAUGAGCUAUCACACAACGCAAUACUCUCAUUUAAAAAAAUCAUCGAUUAGGUCAUCACGCCCAGGCGGAUGACGUCACUAGUAUGAUAUAUAUGCCAAAAAGUCAUAAUUUAAAAAUAAAAAUCGACCUGUCUCAGGAUUUCUUUCCAAAUUCGCCCAUUCUCGAGAUAAUGAAUUUAUUUCAACUCAAACGUCCUCACUGUAUAUUAGGUUAAGUAUAUUUUGAAUUUUACAACAAUAAUUUUACACCAGUAUUUUGAAUUUCUCUAUAAAAUAAUUAACCAUAGGAAAGUUAUAAAUUAUAGUAAAAUAACCAUCAUAAAAGUUAUAUCAUUACCACAUUAAAGAACAGUCCAAAGGAAAAUAGAAAUAUUCCACAUAAUAAAAAUUGUCUUAAACGAAAGUGAUUGUUUUCAGUUAAUAAGAGAAAACCUAAAAGGGAAAAUUAUUGUUUAAACAAACCUUUUGGUAGAGAAAUUCAAAAUACUGGUGUAAAAUUGCUAAGUCCCCAAUAACUAUAUAAUAACCUAUAACAUAGGUAUCGUAUACAUAAUAUACAUAACGAUGUUUUUUUAUUUAAAAUAUUUCUAAUACUAUAUAAUUCGAUUAAUAAAUAUAUUUUGAAUUUCAUUUAUAUAGAUAAUCGACCAAGCGAAGUGAGGUCUUUCAUUUAUUACUAUGUUAAACUUAAAAUAUGUAUUAAGUGUAUAAUAUAUGUUUUUCAAAUUGGCCGCCAAACUCAGAGACUGACUGUCAAUUGUCUAGAAGCUCGCCAGCAUAGUAUUAGUUUUCUCUAGACGCAAGUACACAAACCUACCUUUGAAAAGUUAUUUUAUUUUUAAAACUUUGUGUGACUUCAGUGACUUGUGAAGUUCCAACUAUAAAGUUUCUUGGUUUUGUUUUUCUUCCUUAUUUUAUUAUAUUCUAACACGAAAUAAAAUGAGUAAUAUCGAGAGAAGUUUUAUAUGUUGUAUUUGUAAAGGACCAUCCUUCUCAAAACAGUCAAAUCUUAGGGCCCACGUAAAAAAGUUCCAUCCAGACAAACUGGAGGAAUUGGCACCAAAAAAUGUUAAAAACGUAGCAGCUAUAUGCAAUGAAUGCAAUCAGACUUUCUCAAAAUACUCCAAUUUGAAAGAGCAUGUCCGGACAUUUCAUCCAGAAAAAAUGGAAGUCUUAAUCAAAGAUAAGUUUUAUCUUUACAAAUGCAGUGAAUGUUCCAAGCAAUUUUCGGGUUUAGCAAAUUUCAACGCUCAUAAGAAAAUACAUACAACUCCGAAAAUUGUUUCCCACCGUAAGCCCAAACAAUUGAAGUGUCCUUUAUGUAAAUAUGAAGAUAUCAAAUCGAAGUUAAUACACCAUUUUGGAGAAAAGCAUGAAGUUGUUGUUAAAGCUGAAAAUAUGCAAUUUAAUUCAUUAGAAGAAUUUCAUUUUUGGAAAUUGGAAGAGGAAAAAACAACUAGAUCAUUUUUUGUAAAGAAUCGUAGUUCCAGUAAUGUUUCAAAUGGCACUAAAACAAUAUAUAAUUGUCAUAGGUCAGGAAAAUACAUUGCUAAAGGAAACAAUAAAAGACAUUUAAAAUACAAAGGCUCUAACAAAAUAAAUGCUUUCUGUCCAGCCAAUAUUACAGUCAUUCAAGAAGCAAAUAUCUGCAAGGUAGAUUAUGUUAAGAUGCAUAUUGGACAUCAGAAUAACUUAGGUCAUUUAUUUUUAAGUCAGGAAAAAAAGCGGGAAUUAGCUAGUAAAAUAGCUGCAAAGAUUCCAUUAGCUGCCAUUUUAGAUGAAAUUAGAGAUUCUAUGACAAGUGCAAAUUUUUCAAGGAUUCAUCUUCUAACUAAAAAAGAUUUGCAUAAUAUUGAACAAACAUACAAUCUAAAUGCAACACCUGUCAGACAUAGGAAUGAUGCCAUAAGUGUCCAAGCAUGGGUAAAUGAACUACAAAAAAGUAAUAGUGUACUUUUCUAUAAACCGCAAGAUGAUUUAUCAGAAGAGCACUCAUGUUUAAAAAGAGAAGAUUUUGUUUUAAUUCUAAUGACCGAAGGUCAAAAGGAGAUGCUUGACAAAUUUGGGGGUGAUUGCAUUUGUGUAGACGGAACACACGGAAUAACUAGUUACGGAUUUGAAUUGGUAACAUUAUUGGUUCUUGAUGAUAUGCGAGAGGGAUUUCCAUGUGCAUUUAUGAUAUCCAAUAGAACAGAUGAAGACGUUAUGUGCAUAUUAUUUUCUUGUAUUAGAAAAAGUUUGCAAUCAAAAAUUUCGCCCAAAGUAUUCAUGUCGGAUAUGGCAGAAUCAUUUUUUAAUGCAUGGAUAAAAAUUAUGAGUCCUCCAGAAUACAGGCUAUAUUGUUGUUGGCAUGUAGACCGCGCAUGGAGGAAGAAUCUUUCGAAGAUUUCUGCUAAGGAUAUGCAAGUAGUGGUCUACCAACAAUUGCGUACCUUGCUUCAAGAAACGGAUGUAAAAGCAUUUUCACUUAUGUUGGAGACAUUUUUAAAAAGCCUCUACGAAAAUGAGGCUACCUUGGAGUUUGCAAAUUAUUUUAAAAUCCAUUAUGCUAAUAAAGUUGAUAGUUGGGCUUAUAGUUAUCGUCUAAAUAGCGGUUUGAACACGAACAUGCAUUUAGAACGUAUGCAUCAUACCAUAAAGUAUAUCUAUCUAAAAGGCAAACAUAACAAGAGACUAGAUAGGGCUAUUUCUGCUCUAUUGAAGUUUGUAAGAGAUAAACUGUUUGAUCAAUUAAUAACAAUUCAUAAAGGUAAACUGUGUACUAAAUUGAGAGAACUAAGGUCGAGGCAUAAGUCAAGCCAAGAACUUGAUCACAACUUAGUGAUAAAAAUGGAUACUGUUUGGCAAGUUCCUUCAUCCACAACUCAGGAAAUAUAUUUGGUAGAGCAAAGGAAAGUUGAUUGUGCUUGUAAAAUCGUUUGCUUGGAAUGUGAUGCUUGCUUUCACCAAUAUUCGUGUACAUGUAUAGAUUCAAGCGUCAGAUAUAAUAUGUGUAAACAUAUACAUUUAGUAUGCCGAUAUGAACAACACCUACCGGGUGAAAAAAAUGCAGAAUCACUUAUAACAGAAACGGACUCGGAUCAAGAUGGCAAUGCCCUAAUAAUUCAAGAAUGUACUUCUGAAAAUAAAAUACAGGAUUUAGUUAAGGUAUUAAGUUCUAAGGAAACUGAAGAUGGUGAUAAUGAUGCCAAGUUAGACAAAGAAAAAUUAAAUUUAAAAAACUGGAUAUGGGAUCAAAUUGAUAAAAUCUCCUCAAUGACAGAGCUAAAUGAAAUCAAACGUUUAACCGCUCCAAUUGAAGCUGUGCUAAACGCAGUUAAGGAAGGAAGCACAUCAAUAAAAAUACCAGAAGAAAAUAUAAAGAUUCCGCACAAUAAAAAUAUUGUUAAACAAAGGAGAUUGUUUUCGGUUAAGAAAAAAUCUAAAAGGGAAAAUCAGCGUGUUAACAAACCUUCUAUUAGUGAUAUUCAAAAUACCGCUGUAAAAUUGUUACAUCCUUAAUAAAUUUGUAAUAUAACUAUUACACAUAUCGAAUUUUUUUAUUUAAAAUUUUGCUAUUACGCUCGGUUUCAUAAUAAAGUUAAAGUGGACUUAAAAUUUUAAGUUGGUAGGUACGUACCAAAUUUAAAUUUAAAGCCCACUUUAACUUUAUUAUGAAAUCUGUCGUUAAUGCUGUAUCUAUAGUUAGGCUAAUAAGUAAAUUUUGAAUUUCAUUUAUAUAGUAAAUAUGUAUAAUCGACAUAUUUUGACAAAAUAUUUUGUCGAUAUAUUUUGACAAAAAAAAAAUCUAAGCAAUUUAAUUAAUUCAAAAUACAUUUUACUGCUGUCAGAAAAAAUGUUUAUUUCACAAAAUAAACGUGGCUUUUCGCUUAAAUCCCAGGUUCAAACUGCUAAGAGACAUGUGGUUGGCAGCUUUAACAUUGAAUUUAAGCGAAAACAAUAUUUAUUUGUCAAAUAAACAUUUAUUUCUGUUUCCUGACAGAACUAAAAUGUAUUUUGAAUUAAAUGAAUUACAUUCAUUCUUUUUGUCACAAUUAAUUUAAUCCAAAAUAUUUUUUUGGACACCCUGUAUACCUAAAUAAUUAUGUUAAAGUUUAUAUUAUUGAAUAGCGAAUUAAAUAACCUUUCAAAUGAGCUAUCACACAACGCAAUACUCUCAUUUAAAAAAAUCAUCGAUUAGGUCAUCACGCCCAGGCGGAUGACGUCACUAGUAUGAUAUAUAUGCCAAAAAGUCAUAAUUUAAAAAUAAAAAUCGACCUGUCUCAGGAUUUCUUUCCAAAUUCGCCCAUUCUCGAGAUAAUGAAUUUAUUUCAACUCAAACGUCCUCACUGUAUAUUAGGUUAAGUAUAUUUUGAAUUUUACAACAAUAAUUUUACACCAGUAUUUUGAAUUUCUCUAUAAAAUAAUUAACCAUAGGAAAGUUAUAAAUUAUAGUAAAAUAACCAUCAUAAAAGUUAUAUCAUUACCACAUUAAAGAACAGUCCAAAGGAAAAUAGAAAUAUUCCACAUAAUAAAAAUUGUCUUAAACGAAAGUGAUUGUUUUCAGUUAAUAAGAGAAAACCUAAAAGGGAAAAUUAUUGUUUAAACAAACCUUUUGGUAGAGAAAUUCAAAAUACUGGUGUAAAAUUGCUAAGUCCCCAAUAACUAUAUAAUAACCUAUAACAUAGGUAUCGUAUACAUAAUAUACAUAACGAUGUUUUUUUAUUUAAAAUAUUUCUAAUACUAUAUAAUUCGAUUAAUAAAUAUAUUUUGAAUUUCAUUUAUAUAGAUAAUCGACCAAGCGAAGUGAGGUCUUUCAUUUAUUACUAUGUUAAACUUAAAAUAUGUAUUAAGUGUAUAAUAUAUGUUUUUCAAAUUGGCCGCCAAACUCAGAGACUGACUGUCAAUUGUCUAGAAGCUCGCCAGCAUAGUAUUAGUUUUCUCUAGACGCAAGUACACAAACCUACCUUUGAAAAGUUAUUUUAUUUUUAAAACUUUGUGUGACUUCAGUGACUUGUGAAGUUCCAACUAUAAAGUUUCUUGGUUUUGUUUUUCUUCCUUAUUUUAUUAUAUUCUAACACGAAAUAAAAUGAGUAAUAUCGAGAGAAGUUUUAUAUGUUGUAUUUGUAAAGGACCAUCCUUCUCAAAACAGUCAAAUCUUAGGGCCCACGUAAAAAAGUUCCAUCCAGACAAACUGGAGGAAUUGGCACCAAAAAAUGUUAAAAACGUAGCAGCUAUAUGCAAUGAAUGCAAUCAGACUUUCUCAAAAUACUCCAAUUUGAAAGAGCAUGUCCGGACAUUUCAUCCAG
rnacentral:misc_RNA from 1 species